UUCCAGCUCCAAUAGCGUAUAUUUAAGUUGUUGCAGUUAAAAAGCUCGUCGUUGGAUUUCGGGCGGGUUUCGUCGGUCCGCCUCUGGUGUGCACUGCCGAAGCUCGCCUUUCUGUCGAGGACGGGCUCCUGGGCUUCAUUGCUCGGGACUCGGGCUCGACGAGGUUACUUUGAGUAAAUUAGAGUGUUCAAAGCAGGCGAUCGCCCUGAAUACAUUAGCAUGGAAUAGCAUGAUAGGACUCUGGCCUAUCUUGCUGGUCUGUAGGACCGGAGUAAUGAUUAAGAGGGACAGUCGGGGGCACUCGUAUUUCAUUGUCAGAGGUGAAAUUCUUGGAUUUAUGAAAGACGAACUUCUGCGAAAGCAUUUGCCAAGGAUGUUUUCAUUGAUCAAGAACGAAAGUUGGGGGCUCGAAGACGAUUAGAUACCGUCGUAGUCUCAACCAUAAACGAUGCCGACCAGGGAUUGGCGGGUGUUCUUUUAAUGACCCCGCCAGCACCUUGAGAGAAAUCAGAGUCUUUGGGUUCCGGGGGGAGUAUGGUCGCAAGGCUGAAACUUAAAGGAAUUGACGGAAGGGCACCACCAGGCGUGGAGCCUGCGGCUUAAUUCGACUCAACACGGGAAAACUUACCAGGUCCAGACACGAGGAUGAUUAACAGAUUGAGAGCUCUUUUUUGAUUUUGUGGGUGGUGGUGCAUGGCCGUUCUUAGUUGGUGGGUUGCCUUGUCAGGUUGAUUCCGGUAACGAACGAGACCUCAGCCUGCUAAAUAGUCACGUUUCCUUUCUGGAUACGCUUGACUUCCUAGAGGGACUAUUGUCGUUUAGGCAAUGGAAGUGUGAGGCAAUAACAGGUCUGUGAUGCCCUUAGAUGUUCUGGGCCGCACGCGCGCUACAUUGAUGCAUUCAACGAGCCUAUCCUUGGCCGAGAGGCCUGGGUAAUCUUUGAAACUGCAUCGUGAUGGGGAUAGAUUAUUGCAAUUAUUAGUCUUCAACGAGGAAUGCCUAGUAAGCGCGAGUCAUCAGCUCGCGUUGAUUACGUCCCUGCCCUU
rnacentral:rRNA from 1 species